rnacentral:rRNA from 1 species
GGGGAAUUUUCCGCAAUGGGCGCAAGCCUGACGGAGCAACGCCGCGUGAGGGAGGAAGGCCUGUGGGUUGUAAACCUCUUUUCUCAAGGAAGAACACAAUGACGGUACUUGAGGAAUCAGCGUCGGCUAACUCCGUGCCAGCAGCCGCGGUAAGACGGAGGAUGCAAGCGUUAUCCGGAAUUAUUGGGCGUAAAGCGUCCGUAGGUGGUUAUAAAAGUCUGUUGUUAAAGCCCACAGCUCAACUGUGGAUCGGCAAUGGAAACCGUAUGACUUGAGUGUGGUAGGGGUAGAGGGAAUUCCUAGUGUAGCGGUGAAAUGCGUAGAUAUUAGGAAGAACACCAGUGGCGAAGGCGCUCUACUGGGCCAUAACUGACACUGAUGGACGAAAGCUAGGGGAGCG